AUGAACGCUGGCGGCGUGCCUAAUACAUGCAAGUCGAGCGAACGGACGAGAAGCUUGCUUCUCUGAUGUUAGCGGCGGACGGGUGAGUAACACGUGGAUAACCUACCUAUAAGACUGGGAUAACUUCGGGAAACCGGAGCUAAUACCGGAUAAUAUUUUGAACCGCAUGGUUCAAAAGUGAAAGACGGUCUUGCUGUCACUUAUAGAUGGAUCCGCGCUGCAUUAGCUAGUUGGUAAGGUAACGGCUUACCAAGGCAACGAUGCAUAGCCGACCUGAGAGGGUGAUCGGCCACACUGGAACUGAGACACGGUCCAGACUCCUACGGGAGGCAGCAGUAGGGAAUCUUCCGCAAUGGGCGAAAGCCUGACGGAGCAACGCCGCGUGAGUGAUGAAGGUCUUCGGAUCGUAAAACUCCGUUAUUAGGGAAGAACAUAUGUGUAAGUAACUGUGCACAUCUUGACGGUACCUAAUCAGAAAGCCACGGCUAACUACGUG
rnacentral:rRNA from 1 species